GUCGAGAAUCAUUCACAAUGGGGGAAACCCUGAUGGUGUGACGCCGCGUGGAGGAUGAAGGUCUUCGGAUUGUAAACUCCUGUCAUGUGGGAGUAAAGCCGGGUGUUAAAUGCAUGCCGGUCUGAGAGUACCACAAGAGGAAGGGACGGCUAACUCUGUGCCAGCAGCCGCGGUAAUACAGAGGUCCCAAGCGUUGUUCGGAAUCACUGGGCGUAAAGGGUGCGUAGGCGGCGCGGAAAGUCAGGGGUGAAAUCCCGGAGCUCAACUCCGGAACUGCCUUUGAUACUCCCGCGCUUGAGAACUGGAGGGGAGACCGGAAUUCACGGUGGAGCAGUGAAAUGCGUGGAUAUCGUGAGGAACACUAGUGGCGAAGGCGGGUCUCUGGACAGUAUCUGACGCUGAGGCACGAAGGCCAGGGGAGCGAACGGGAUUAGAAACCCGAGUAGUCC
rnacentral:rRNA from 1 species